UACGGAGGGGGCUAGCGUUGUUCGGAAUUACUGGGCGUAAAGCGCACGUAGGCGGCUUUGUAAGUCAGAGGUGAAAGCCUGGGGCUCAACUCCAGAAUUGCCUUUAAGACUGCAUCGCUUGAACGUCGGAGAGGUGAGUGGAAUUCCGAGUGUAGAGGUGAAAUUCGUAGAUAUUCGGAAGAACACCAGUGGCGAAGGCGGCUCACUGGACGACUGUUGACGCUGAGGUGCGAAAGCGUGGGGAGCAAACAGG
rnacentral:rRNA from 1 species